AAUAGCAUAUAUUAACGUUGUUGCAGUUGAAAAGCUCGUAGUUGAACUUUUGGUAGGAGCGACCUGGCCUUGGGCGCAUGCCCUUGUUUGCCGUGUGUCGUAUCUGGCCAUCCUUUUCUUCUUUUUGGAAGGAAUCUUUUACUGUGAGUAAACUGGAGUGCUCAAAACAAGACGUUUGUUUGGUACAUUAAAGCAUGGAAUAAUAAGAUAGGACCUGGUUACUAUUUUGUUGGUUUGCAUAGCUAGGUAAUGAUUAACAGGGACAGUUGGGGGUAUUCGUAUUUAAUUGUCAGAGGUGAAAUUCUUGGAUUUAUGAAAGACGAACGACUGCGAAAGCAUUUACCAAGGAUGUUUUCAUUAA
rnacentral:rRNA from 1 species